CUGUGGAGGAAACUCAGGGUAAGGGCGCGACCGCCCACGCAGGGACGAGUCUCUCAACAACGGGAGGGAGACCCAAAGAGGCCGAAGCCGGAGGAGGCCCGAGCUCUGGUCCCUCGGGGGCUUCGGCCGGCCCCUCAGACCCCGCGCCCGGCCGAGCCGCAGGUCUGGCGGUGGCGAGUGCCGCCCAGCCUCACAGGCCCGGUCCUGCCGCGCGUCGCUGACUCAGUUGUCCUGAGGAAAUUUGGACACACAGGGUGACACCAGGAAUGCACAUUUGCGGAGGAAUGGCCAUGUGAGGACACAGGAAGAAGGCAGCCUUCUGAAAGCCAAGGAGAAGCCUCAGGAGAAACUAAACCUGCCUAUACCUUGAUCUUGAACUUCCAGCCUCCAGAACUGUGAAAAAAUAAAGUUUUGUUGUUUAAGCUA